AAGAGCUGAGGGGACACGUGUGAAGGUUGAGUGUUGAAGAGCUGAGGGGACACGUGUGAAGGUUGAGUGUUGAAGAGCUGAGGGGACACGUGUGAAGGUUGAGUGUUGAAGAGCUGAGGGGACACGUGUGCAGGUUGAGUGUUGAAGAGCUGAGGGGACACGUGUGCAGGUUGAGUGUUGAAGAGCUGAGGGGACACGUGUGCAGGUUGAGUGUUGAAGAGCUGAGGGGACACGUGUGCAGGUUGAGUGUUGAAGAGCUGAGGGGACACGUGUGCAGGUUGAGUGUUGAAGAGCUGAGGGGACACGUGUGCAGGUUGAGUGUUGAAGAGCUGAGGGGACACGUGUGCAGGUUGAGUGUUGAAGAGCUGAGGGGACACGUGUGCAGGUUGAGUGUUGAAGAGCUGAGGGGACACGUGUGCAGGUUGAGUGUUGAAGAGCUGAGGGGACACGUGUGCAGGUUGAGUGUUGAAGAGCUGAGGGGACACGUGUGCAGGUUGAGUGUUGAAGAGCUGAGGGGACACGUGUGCAGGUUGAGUGUUGAAGAGCUGAGGGGACACGUGUGCAGGUUGAGUGUUGAAGAGCUGAGGGGACACGUGUGAAGGUUGAGUGUUGAAGAGCUGAGGGGACAUGUGCGAAGGCCUCGUCACCCAUGCUGCACAGAUUUGCGGCUGGUGUUAGCAGGCUGUUUGACUGACUGUAGUGGGUGUACUGGGGAGUAGCUCUCCAGAAUUUGGCAUACGUAUGUUGGUGCAAUAGGUUUUAUAUAGAGCUCAUAAAAGAACCCAAAGUCGCUGAGGAUGGCAAUUGACAAUACCAUUUCAUAACGUCUUACUAAAAUAUGCUAAUAAGCCUAAUUUGUUCUGCCCAAUUUCCUAAGUGUAAUUAAAAUGAUAAUUGGUGGUGAUUAUCUAAUUUGCCUCAAUUCUCAUCAGUUUGUCUUUUUGAAAAAAACUUUCCAAUCCGAGCCUUCUGGCACAGCAGUCAAAUUACGCAACAGACCGGUCUGAUGUUAUUAUGCUACUCAUUUCCACUAGCCUGGUCCCAGAUCAGUUUUAAAAUUACCUUAGGAGUUGAAAUGACAAAAUAAAAACAAAAAUCAGGGUCCAGGAUACUAUUCCACUGAUUAUUAGAAAGAGAAAGAGAGCAAUAGUCUCCUUUUCUUUCUCCUAUCGGUGACAGUAACAACCUAGCCAGCAACAUUGUUGUCACAGUUUUUUUUCUUUUUCACAGAACUUUUGUUAUUCUUAAAGCAGAUCUUUGAGACACGUGAUUUUGUCUCUGAGCGUUGGGCAGUGAGUGAAGCAGGCCAAGCUGUGUGACGUC